AGUGAACGCUGGCGGUAGGCCUAACACAUGCAAGUCGAACGGCAGCACAGUAAGAGCUUGCUCUUACGGGUGGCGAGUGGCGGACGGGUGAGGAAUACAUCGGAAUCUACUUUUUCGUGGGGGAUAACGUAGGGAAACUUACGCUAAUACCGCAUACGACCUACGGGUGAAAGCAGGGGAUCUUCGGACCUUGCGCGAUUGAAUGAGCCGAUGUCGGAUUAGCUAGUUGGCGGGGUAAAGGCCCACCACGGCGACGAUCCGUAGCUGGUCUGACAGGAUGAUCAGCCACACUGGAACUGAGACACGGUCCAGACUCCUACGGGAGGCAGCAGUGGGGAAUAUUGGACAAUGGGCGCAAGCCUGAUCCAGCCAUACCGCGUGGGUGAAGAAGGCCUUCGGGUUGUAAAGCCCUUUUGUUGGGAAAGAAAAGCAGCAGGUUAAUACCCCGCUGUUCUGACGGUACCCAAAGAAUAAGCACCGGCUAACUUCGUG
rnacentral:rRNA from 1 species